GGAGGAAAAGAAACCAACCGGGAUUGCCUCAGUAACGGCGAGUGAAGCGGCAAGAGCUCAAAUUUGAAAGCUGGCUCCUUCGGAGUCCGCAUUGUAAUUUGCAGAGGAUGCUUUGGGUGCGGCCCCCGUCUAAGUGCCCUGGAACGGGCCGUCAGAGAGGGUGAGAAUCCCGUCUUGGGCGGGGUGUCCGUGCCCGUGUAAAGCUCCUUCGACGAGUCGAGUUGUUUGGGAAUGCAGCUCUAAAUGGGUGGUAAAUUUCAUCUAAAGCUAAAUACUGGCCGGAGACCGAUAGCGCACAAGUAGAGUGAUCGAAAGAUGAAAAGCACUUUGAAAAGAGAGUUAAACAGCACGUGAAAUUGUUGAAAGGGAAGCGCUUGCGACCAGACUCGCCCGCGGGGUUCAGCCGGCAUUCGUGCCGGUGUACUUCCCCGUGGGCGGGCCAGCGUCGGUUUGGGCGGCCGGUCAAAGGCCCCUGGAAUGUAGUGCCCUCCGGGGCACCUUAUAGCCAGGGGUGCAAUGCGGCCAGCCUGGACCGAGGAACGCGCUUCGGCACGGACGCUGGCAUAAUGGUCGUAAACGACCCGUCUU
rnacentral:rRNA from 1 species